rnacentral:rRNA from 1 species
UCAUCGUAGGGUUAGUCGGGACCUAAGUCGAGUCCGAAAGGGGUAGACGAUGGAAAAAAGGUUAAUAUUCCUUUACCAACAAUUGAGCGUGAUGUGGGGACGCAUAGAGUUAGACGAGGUCGCUGAUGGAAUAGCGGCUCGAAGGAUGUAGGUUGUAUCUUAGGCAAAUCCGGGAUACAUUAAGACCGAAAUCUGACAGGCUAAAUAAUACUUUCGAGUAGCAUUUAGAAUCGUUGAUACUGUCGUGCCUAGAAAAGCCACUAAGCAUAUCAAUUGUUGCCCGUACCGUAAACCGACACAGGUGGGUGAGAUGAGAAUUCUAAGGCGCGUGGAAGAACCAUGGUUAAGGAACUCUGCAAACUAGCACCGUAUCUUCGGUAGAAGGUGUGCCUACUUGGGUGAAGCCCCUAGCGGGUGGAGCCUGAGAGGUUGCAACAAAGAGUCCCUCCCGACUGUUUAC